GACAUUCACCGCUGUCGGUGGGUUGUGACUAAUGCUCAACUCGCCGGCCCGUGAAUGCUAC
rnacentral:pre_miRNA from 1 species